rnacentral:ribozyme from 1 species
UUUUUUUUUUUUUUUUGAAAUCAAAUCGAUCAAAGAAAGUCACAAAUGGUGAACGAAAAGGAAGAAAAGACCUUAAAUUCAAAGAGAGAUGUUUUUUUUUUUUUUUUUUUU